CUGAACUUAAGCAUAUCAAAAGCCGGAGGAAA
rnacentral:rRNA from 1 species